UAGCUGCAGUAUUUUAACUGUACAAAGGUAGCAUAAUCAUUAGUUUUUUAAUUGAAAACUAGUAUGAAAGGUUUGACGUAAAUAAAACUUUUUUUAUUUUAAUUUUAUUGAAUUUAGAUUUUAAGUAAAAAAACUUAAUUUUUUAAAAGUGACGAGAAGACCCUAUAGAAUUUAAGAAGUAAUCAUGAAGUUAAUUAUUUUUUAUUGGGGUGAUAAGAAAAUAAACUUUUCAUUUAUUUUUACAAUUUUUAUGUUUUAAAGAUCUUAAUUUUUAGAUAAUUAGCAUAAAUUACCUUAGGGAUAACAGCAUAAUUUUUUUUAAAAGAUCAAAUUAAUAAAAAAGAUUAUGACCUCGAUGUUGAAUUAAGAUAGUAUUUUGGGGUAGAUUUUAAAAUAUUUAGUCUGUUCGACUUUUAAAUUUUACAUGAUUUGAGUUCAAACCGGUGUGAGCCAG
rnacentral:rRNA from 1 species